GCCUGGGUAGCUCAGUCAGUUGAGUGUCUGGCUCUUAGUUUUGGCUCAAAUCAUGAUCCCAGGGUUCGUGGGUUCAAGUCCCAUGUCGGGCU
rnacentral:tRNA from 1 species